GUUGCCACUUGUCAGUUAUUGGGGAUUGGGUGAUAGUUGGGAAAGAAGAAGAAGAAAGAAAGCUAAGGACAAUCUAUCUACAAUUACUACAUAUAAGGACUACAAAACUACAGAGGUAUAUACAAGGAGGACAACUACAACAAAGCACCGGCCGGCAUGGCAAACGCAAUGCAGAACAUUGCGCCGCAUACCGGCCGGCUCUGUUGUCCCCAUGUGCAGGAUUAGUGGCACCAUCUGGGAUCUUUGGUGGCGAUGGCU